CACGACGGUUCUAUUUAUAAAGAAACGCAGACACUUGUUAGGGGCGUUAAUAAAGUCCUAAGGAUAGCAGCGUAAAUGCUGGUCUCUAUAAUAAGCGUAUACAAGGAGGAAUAUACUGACCAAAUCCUGCAUACUGAGACUGAGAAUGAUGAUCUGACAAAGUGAGGAGCCAAUGAUGUCCGUGCGUCAAACUCUGGCAGAGAAGAUGUAUCUGGAAGAAGACCUGGCGUCUGGACAAGAUGAAAAGGAAAAACAACAGACAUCACUUAUAUCAAGUAGAAGAAAAACAUGCAGAAAAAAAUUGUAGAAUUAAAGUUCUGCUUAGUACUUUGUUGCUUUUCUUCAGGUUUUUAUGAUACUUGGAUUCUUUGAGGCCUGGACUUCACCAAUAAUAAAUAAUAUAAUAUAAAUAAUAAUCUACAUCACCUGACAGAAGAGAAUGACAAAAUAGAGCCUUGUCCUGGACCAAGUGUUUAAAUUUUAUAAUACAUUUUCCAUCAGAUAGAAAUCCAGACUAUUUCCUACCCAUGUC